AAAAAAAAAUUUUAAAGCCCUGCAGCAGCAGCAAAGAAGACCAAAAGGAGACAGAGAGAGAAAAGAGAGAGAGGAGACUUGAUAGAAAAAUCUGAUUCCCAAACCUCUUCUUGCCUACACAAAAACAAGCGUCCUGAGCCACGGGAGGGCGUUUGCACUGGAUCUGAGCGAGGAGCGGAGUUUGUGCCGCCGGAGCCGCCGGGCGCCGCGUCCACGAGUGGGUAAAUCCGCUACGAGCGGGGCUCCGGCUGUGAGCGCGGGGUGCGGGCGACAGUGGCGGGGAGCGACCGGCUUUAUCGCUGACUUGGAACAGCAUCAGGAAUUUUUUCCUCCCCUUGUGCAAGCGACCUUAAUGGGCUUGUGAUUUUUUUUUGUUCUUUCUCUUUUUUUUUCCUUUUUUCCCCUUUUUUUUUCUCUUUUUCUUUAUUGUUUUUUUUCCUCGCUUUUGGACAAAAAAGAGGGGAGCAAGGGGAGGGGGUGAGAAUUUUUCAGACGCGCUAUCUAGAGAGAGAAAUCGUCCUAAAUUCAUAAGGCGACUCUAAGUCUGACGGCGAUCAACGAAACCGUUUAAUUGCUUUACCCCUUUUCAAUCCCUCUCCAUUUUGAAUUUUAUUUUUUUCAUUUUUGCGUUGCUAUUAAUUUUUUAAUGAAGCUAUUAUUAUGCCAACCGCGGCGGAGCGGAGAGAUGGGAAACGCAUGCUUAACCUCCACCGGUUUCCCUUCAAGAGGAGAGAAAUCGGCUCCUUUGCCUGGCCAGCAAAGACAAACACACGAGCGGGAUUUUCGUUUCUCUCUGGGGAGGGAGCGGGGGUCCCCCGCAUCCCCCGCAUCCCCCGCCGGCUGCCCGGGGCUCGGACGGCGGCGGCCCGGCGUGGAGCGGAGAGCGGCUCCCGCAGUCCCCGGGACCGGGGGGGCUGUGAAGCAUCUCCGGGCGCUUUGCCGCCGCUCCUGCCUCCUUGCCGGGACGCGCCGCACGGCGCCGGCAGCCGGAGGCUUGGUGCGAGAUAUCCUCGGCGCUACCGGCUCCGUUGUUAUUAUUAUUAUUAACAAUAUUAUCAUUAUUACCAUUA